GUAACUUUACUUAUUUAAAAUAUUCUACGACUUUUUGUCAAUGAAUAGAAUCUUUCAUGAUUCUUUGAUAAUUUAUAUUGCCAACUGAAAAUAUCGGAACUUAAUGAACAUCUUGGAAUUCAAAUAAUUAUUAUUCAUUCAUUCAAAGUAAUUAAAAUGAAAUUAUUGUAAACAAAUAACUUGAGAAUUAGGAAACGACAAACCUGUACAAGCACAACGAGAAGAAGGUCACGUAAGUUGUACGACCAUCAUUAUAAUUGUAAACUCACCAAAAUUUCAGAAUAUAAUUGUUCAGAUUUAAAAUUCUUUUAUUUAAAACUAACGCCUUGUGUUUCCAGGUAAGACACUUUCCCAUUGAUAAUACUGGGGAAUAAUUAACUUCAAUUCAAGGGGACCUUAUUAUUCAGCUCUCUAGUGAUUUGUUUUCUAACAUUUGCCAAUUAAAAUUUAUUUCAAAAGUUUUCAUACUUUUCAUGUCAUUUUCACAUGACAACCAAUGUUAUAGUCGAGGUUUCAUCAUUCCUGACAUAACAAUUUGGAGAAAGUUCCAGUCUAAACAAUCCAGAAAUAUUUUUGGCGAGAAAACAUUUGCAGAAAUUUUUAAGAAAGAAAAUACUGAAGAAAGAAAAUACCCAUAAGAAGUAUGCAUAUGAAUUUGAACUUGUAAAUUGUGGAAUAAAGAAUAUAGAAUCUUCUUAUCGGGCAGUCUGUAAAAAAUUGUAACAUCAGUAGGAAAGAAAGAAAUAUCCAAAAACCAUUUUCGUAGGCAAUUACAUGACGUAUUAAUGGAACUCUUACAUUGUUUAACGAAGCCACUACUUUCAUCAAGCCAGAAGAUCGAUUGGAUGCACAAGAUCCACUUAUAAUAUUUAAUCAACACUUGUGAUUUGUUAAUUAUUUCGUGAUAGAUGUAUUUAUUGACAAUAUUUUCAUUUUAUGUUGCAUUAUUAUUCAGUAAGCUUCGGUGAACAUAUUUAUUUGCGAUAACUCUAAAGUUUUAACUUAUUUUGUCACACUGAUCUAAUCGGUUUUUCGAUUUUUCAGGAUAUAAAAACUUUCUUGGAAUCGAAUCUUAAGGGUUUAUAUAUUUUAACAGCGUAUAGGGAGAAUAGAGACCUCCAGGAAGAUGAUAAAGCUCUGCUUUGCCGCAUUCUAGCCCAAUGGCUACUGAAUUCAUGGGCUUAUCCAGACACGGCGAUGCUGACGAAAAUAGAUAAAAGAAAACAAAUUUUUAUUCCCCAAUGACGACGAUGAAUAUUAUGUUUCACUUCAAGACGACGGUGUGAACAAAGUUCUUGCAUCUGGGAGACUUCUUGUAGUAGUGAGAACAGAACGUGCCCGGAUGAUCGAGAAGCAUGUUCUUAUUCCAAGUCGCAAGAGGAAACGUGUAGAAGACACUUCACGUGAAGAGUCUGCUGAUUCCACACUUCCAACAGAGCAACAAAGAAUUGCUCUUAAGUGGCUGCAUGUGAAACGUGAGUCCCCCGAAACAGUGCAAGAAAAGUGGGCGAUCACAUGUGAACCACGUCUGGCUCGAUUGAAGAUCAAGAAGAGUGAGAAACUCAGUGAUUAUCUUGAUGAGUUUCCAGUUCUUCGACUGAGUUUUGGAAAAGCUUUGGUUGCUAUUGACUUCAAACAUUUGGACAUGGACAAACAUGAGAAUUUGAUGAAGAAUUGGAGAACUUUCAGGAAGAAGAUUAUUGAAAUCAUUAAGAGUAAGACUUGCUGUGAUAAAAAUAUUAAACAUAUUCAAGCUGCGCUUAAGAAUAAAAAUUCAGAAGAGGGAAUUAAUGCAUUGAUUCUCCAUUCCCUUUCCUACAUCUUACCUGCAAAACAUCAAGCACAAUUCCACGGUAAAUUCAAAAAGAUUUCAGGUACAGAAGCUCGAGAUUCCUUGAUUCAACGCGUUCCGGUAUUUUUUUAUAUUUUUUUUUUCGUAGCUAUUACACCAAUAUUUCGAUUUUUGUGUAUACUAUUUUUUUUUUAUCGAAAACUGUCUAGACUACGAAAGAAGUGCAAGAAGUUCGUGACAGAAUUAUUUCAGAAGCAGCCAAGGAUAAGUUAACAGUUCAACCAUAUAUACUAUAUGUUGGUUGGGAACUUACAGUCGUUAAGGAGGUACACUUAUGCAUAGACAAUUUUUGUUACUCCUGUAGGAAUCUGUUGGACGGGUUGGAUAUUUGUUUCAAAACCUUUUAUGCAUUGGAAAUGAAGUAUCCUAGCAGGUCCAUGCAUAUUUGGACAUUAAUUCAAAAAGCUAUCUGUGACAUCGAUUUCGACGAGAAGAAUCCAAUGUUCCACGAUGUUGUUAUGUUCUUGUCAACAUUGAAAAAAAUGAAAUGAGAAAAUUCUCAUCAUUUUGUGACGGAAUGUUAGAAAUUCCGCCACCUGUACGAGAGUUCACCGCAGAAUUGGAAAAUUGCGGAUUUUCGAUAGAAAGGAUUGUAAGGAGAGAGAGAGUAAACGGGGAUUAAUCAUCUUAUUUGUACCUGUGCGGGAAAUAAAAAUACAUAUCUGCAUUGUGAUACGGGACAUUGGCAUAAGGGAAAUUAUCAGCCCCGAAGAUUCUGACAGCUCGAAAGAGGUUAUGUUUGAUGAAAGAUUGUUAAAAGGAACAUUCCUGCAAUAAUCUUCGAUCAAAAGCAUUGACAAUCACUGCAAACCCUGUGAGAAGGCUGUGUGUAACUGAGUGAGGUAAAUCAUUCAUCGAUUUCUGAUGCAGCAGAAUGUCCCAGCAUGACCAUUAGUCUGAUGCAAUAGUGGAUUAUCGAGCGUCAGCUCUCACAGAAUAACCCAUAGUCAUAACCCCUCGCCUUAUUACGUUUUUAAGUUGAAGAAGAGUAUCGAGGCACUGAGAUACUUUAUUAUGUACUCAAAUGUAUCUGUGGGAGGAAAGGAGCUACUUCGGAUCAAGCACUACCCCAAUGAAAUCGGAGUGUUCCAUCGAUUUCUCCAGUGAGCUAACAAAACUGGAUCCAAUGGAUGUUUCUCCACCCAGCGAAAAAAAUUCCAAGAUUCGUUAUUUACUGCUGUACCUCCUCCUCUCAAGACUUCAAAACCCACUGAGGGCAAUACAGUCAGCAAUAAAAUCAAAUCUGGUAACGAGUGACGCUCCUUAGACCUAGGCGCUUUUAAAUUCGAGACAAAUCUGCAACGAUAGACAUGCCCAAAGUUAAGAUGCAUGGAAGAGUCUAACGCAAAGAAAAAGCAGUGAGAAAUACAGAGUUUUGUAUUUGUUACUUAUCGUAUGAUUCAACAAGAAAUGGGAGAAAAAGAUUUGGAACGAUGCAUACAUGUGUUCACCAUAUGAGAUCAACCUAUUGUACGACUUCUCUUGACAAAUUAAUUUCAAUAUAUGAAAAUUUGUGUCCAAGCCAAGAUCAAAUUACUCUCAUUUCGGGAAGCUAAUUAUUACCAUUGAAAUACACUAUAAGGAACUGUCGAUUGCACUUAAUGAAUGCAAUAUAGUCGAUAAACUGUUUAUCAUAAAAAAAAUUAGAAUAUUUAAAAUAAUAAAAGAAGUGUGUCUUGGAAUUAUUUGUCUAAAUGAAGUAAUUCUUGAGUUUUUCUAAGUUUCAUUUUUUUAUUAACUUAAUAGUUCUGAAGAUUCGUACAGAUCUCAUAAAUCUUUUAUAUUUCAUCCAAUGAAAGAAGGUUAGCUCAUGUGUAAAAAAUGAACAGUCAAACUUGAUUGUGAGGGUCACGAAGGGAAAUAGUUAGUAGAAAAUUGUCGCUCGUUCAUAGAAGAACUAUGAACGUUCUAUUCUAAAGUGAAUACAAUAUCGAAAUAAUUGGAUCACUGGAAUUUUUGCAUGGAAUUUCUCUAUCAUUGAAUAUAAUAAUAAAUGCAGACGUUCCCAAAAUUUGAUAUAACUUCUUGAUUUUCUGUCAUUUUUUAAGCUACAGAAAACAUGUAUGUUAUUUGCCAUCGAAUUUUUCGGUCUUUAUUGUUCCAUUCGAUAAAGGAAUUCCAUGCUAGGACACAAUUAGUGGGAUGUAUCAUAUCACCACCUGUUGAUAAUUUGUUUCACGUAAACCAGGCAUCACAACUUCUCAUAACUGUGGUCCUAGAUGUUCAGUUGCAUUCACGAAGAAAAUUUAGAUUGAAGGAAAAGAAACGUAAAUCGUGCAUGCAAACUACAUCCCCUGGAGCAAAAGAAUUAGUGCUGUAAGUAUGGAACCAGUUUUUUUUAUAUUGUUUUAAUUCCAGUUCACUUUUAUCAUCAAAUAGUAUAAAAAGGUGGAAGCCUGUAUGAUGUUUUCGUAUUUUUUCAUAUUCCAUCAUUUGUACAUGUUUUUCGAUCUUUUUUUUAUUUUUCCGCGUCAAAAAUAGGCAAAGAAAUUCUGAUUCAAUUAGGGUCACGAGAAGACAUUUUUUUGUUGGGAACUGUGCCUACAUCAUGAGAGGACACGUGUUUCUUAUUUCGAAGAAUAAUUGAGAACUAUGAAGUGAUGAGCGAUUGAGAAUGACAACAUAUAAUAGCGUUUUGCAAAAACACAGAAAUACGUAGUAUUGUGACAUCAUAAUUUGAUAUAAUUCCGAAAUCGUAUUAUCUUUCAAGAAAAAAAAUACGUAAGUGAUUUUCCAUCCACUUUCCGUAUCUCAUCGCUGUUUUGAAUGAAGAAAUUUUAUGAAACAUUUGAAUCAACAGAAUGUGUUAUUUCACUCCUAAUAAUUUUCUUGCACGUAAUUCUCCUAAAUCAAACUUUUCCUUCUCAAGAAACUUCCAAUAAUUACAGUACUACGUAUUUGAUAAUGAAUUCAUGAAAGAACUAAAGAGAAAAGAUGUAAAUUAUGCAUAUAAGCUGUAUCGUCUGUGGAGAGAGGCUUUGCGUUGCAGGUACAACAACAGUCUUUCAUAUUGUUCUAUUUACAGUUUACUUUCAUCACGAAAUAAAGUUCAAACAUGAGAGUUUGUAUUAAAACAA